rnacentral:rRNA from 1 species
UGAGGAACAUGACCUUCGGCGGGGGAUAGCCGGCCCAACGGCCGGGUAAUACCGCGUACGACCACAUGGGGACAUCCCUGAGUGGUGAAAGCAGCAAUGCGCCGAUGGAGUGCCUCGCGGCCUAUCAGCUUGUUGGCGGGGUAAUGGCCCACCAAGGCGACGACGGGUAGCUGGUCUGAGGAGGAUGAUCAGCCACAUUGGGACUGAGAUACCGGCCCAGACCU